AUAGUGCCAAGCACUUUGCCAAAAAUCGACCCAAAACAGAAUGGAAUAUUGAAAAAUUGUAAGUCAACUUGGCCCGAAGCACGGACAAGUGUAAUAAAUGCAAAGAAGACACUAUAGCAACAAGACACGAGAAAAAUUUAUAAAAAUCUAUUUUAUAAAAUUUUGCAUACUAUGUUAUAAAGUCAGUGCUGAAAAAAAUAAUAAAUCUAUGAUUUGUCG